AUAUUUUUUUUGAUUUUCAGCUCUAUUCAGCAUAUUACUUUUUUCUUGCACCAAGAUAAUCUACCUGUCUUUGAAUAGGGUUGGUAUAAGGGUUUGAUGUAUGUCUGGGUGUUCUAUUUUACUUAAUACAGGUGGUAGAUGAACGUUCGGCCCGACUUUGAGGAAUUUUUGUGUAAAGUCAUAUCGAGUUUGGAUUUCAUAGAUAAUUUUGAAUCCACUUUGUCUACAACCAAGGAAGUUAUAAGUAAUGCAACUUUCGUCGACCAACGCUUGCGUGGAAGCUUCUCUCUAAGGCGGAACGCUCCCCUACCGAUGUAUUUUUAUAUCUCACAGCUUCGGCGCCCCAUUCAUCUUCGGUCAAGAGCACUCGAUCAGUGAUCUAUUACGCACUCUUUCAAGGGUGGGUGCUUCUAGGCAAACCUCAUGGCUGUCUCUGCACCCCUACCUCCUUCAUCACUGAGCGGUCAUU